AGCGAACGCUGGCGGCAGGCUUAACACAUGCAAGUCGAGCGGGCAUCCUUGUGGUGUCCGCGGCAGACGGGUGAGUAACGCGUGGGAACGUGCCCUUCGGUUCGGAAUAACUCAGGGAAACUUGAGCUAAUACCGGAUACGUGCGAGAGCAGAAAGGUUUAUCUGCCGAAGGGUCGGCCCGCGUCUGAUUAGCUAGUUGGUGAGGUUAUGGCUCACCAAGGCGACGAUCAGUAGCUGGUCUGAGAGGAUGAUCAGCCACACUGGGACUGCGACACGGCCCAAACUCCUACGGGAGGCAGCAGUGGGGAAUAUUGGACAAUGGGGGCAACCCUGAGCCAGCCAUGCCGCGUGAGUGAUGACGGCCUUAGGGUUGUAAAGCUCUUUUCUCCGGGACGAUAAUGACGGAACCGGAGGAAUAAGCCCCGGCUAACUUCG
rnacentral:rRNA from 1 species